rnacentral:lncRNA from 13 species
GUCCUUAUUGUGGCAAUAGAGAGGUGAUUCAGCUGAUACGUCAGCACUGUGUUCGCACUGUUUUAUAAUAAAGUGAACUGAAGAGCUUUGGAACAUCCUGUAGACAAAGCAAUGAUGAGAGAUUUAUAAAUCUUGAGCAAGAAGAAGAACUUCAUAAGAAGAGGAAGUGAGAGGUGCUCAUCAUGACAUUUAAAUAUUUCCUGAAAAUUCUCAGAAAUAUUAGGGAGACAGAAUCUCACUCUGUCGCCCAGGCUAGAGUGCAGUCAUGGCUUGUUGCUACCUUAAGGGAGCCUUCAGAGUAGCUGGAACUACAGCUAUGGGGGAAGCCAACUUCUGUGUCAUGAGGACAUUCAAGCAGCACUUUGGAGCCGACCAUGUGGAACUGAAACUAAGCCAAGAAUCAGUGAGGAGCCUGCUGGUAACAGCCUUGUGGAUAACCCAUCUGAGAAGUGCAUCCUCUAGUCUCUGGCAAGCCUUCAGAAGACUGUGGCACCUGACAUCGCGACUGCAACCUCAUUGGAAACUCAAGACAGAACGGCCAGAUAAGCUGUUCCUAAAUUUCUGACUGACAGAAACUGUGUCAAAUAGACAUUUAUUUUUUGAGCCCUACGUUUUUGGAG